rnacentral:rRNA from 1 species
UACGUAGGGUGCGAGCGUUGUCCGGAAUUAUUGGGCGUAAAGAGCUUGUAGGCGGUUUGUCGCGUCUGCUGUGAAAAUCCGGGGCUCAACCCCGGACUUGCAGUGGGUACGGGCAGACUAGAGUGUGGUAGGGGAGACUGGAAGUCCUGGUGUAGCGGUGAAAUGCGCAGAUAUCAGGAGGAACACCGAUGGCGAAGGCAGGUCUCUGGGCCACUACUGACGCUGAGAAGCGAAAGCAUGGGGAGCGAACAGG